rnacentral:rRNA from 1 species
CCUACGGGGGGCAGCAGUGGGGAAUAUUGGACAAUGGGGGCAACCCUGAUCCAGCCAUGCCGCGUGUGUGAAGAAGGCCCUCGGGUUGUAAAGCACUUUCAGUGAGGAAGAACGCCUGGUGGUUAAUACCCAUCAGGAAAGACAUCACUCACAGAAGAAGCACCGGCUAACUCCGUGCCAGCAGCCGCGGUAAUACGGAGGGUGCGAGCGUUAAUCGGAAUUACUGGGCGUAAAGCGCGCGUAGGUGGCUUGAUAAGCCGGUUGUGAAAGCCCCGGGCUCAACCUGGGAACGGCAUCCGGAACUGUCAAGCUAGAGUGCAGGAGAGGAAGGUAGAAUUCCCGGUGUAGCGGUGAAAUGCGUAGAGAUCGGGAGGAAUACCAGUGGCGAAGGCGGCCUUCUGGACUGACACUGACACUGAGGUGCGAAAGCGUGGGUAGCAAACAGGAUCAGAUACCCCGGUAGUC